rnacentral:rRNA from 2 species
CCGAGAUGAGUUCUCCCUGACUCCUUGAGAGUCCUGAAGGAACGUUGAAGACGACGACGUUGAUAGGCCGGGUGUGUAAGCGCAGCGAUGCGUUGAGCUAACCGGUACUAAUGAACCGUGAGGCUUAACCUUACAACGCCGAAG